AGUGAACGUCGCUCCAGUCUUUGAUGGGGCCACACUCGGGAUGUAAAUUUAGGAUCCUCACUGAAGGGGCGGGACCCUGAGAGGCUUUCUCCUGGCCCCUUAGUUGUGAGUUUUCCUGCAGGCGGAGGAGCCAGUUUCCGUCAGAACCGCCCAGAGGCAGGCGCUGCCUUCCUGGGGUGGCGGAGCAGCUGGAAGCGUUUUCGGAUCCUGGAAUCCGUGGGCGGCCCGUGGGAGGGGCUGAGGCGCAUUUCCCUACUCACCCGGAUCCGAAUCCACCGCGGUGCUGUUUCAAGCGAGUCAGAUUCCACAUCGCGCUCCACCCCGGACUCGGAAUUCCUGCCCCACAGGGACAGGAAGAUGGUUGGAGACCUGACUGGGGCCCAGGCCUAUGCCUCCACUGCCAAGUACCUGAACAUCUGAGCCCUGAUUGUGUGCAUCAUCAUGACCAUUCUGCUCACCGUCAUCAUCCUAGUGUUGAUCUUCCAAGUCUGUCGAUAGAUCAGGAGGCAUCAUCCAGGCCAGGAGCUCUGCCCAUGACCUGUAUUCCACAUACUCCAACUUCCAUUCCUCGUCCUGGCCCCAGAGCUGAGUUCUGUAUCAGCGCUUUAUCCUCACACACUCUUCUACAAUGGCAUUCAAUAAAGUGCAUGUGUUCCUGGUUAAAAAAAAAAAAAUGUACUGGUCAGUGGCUUUUAGCAUAAUCACAACAUCGUGCCACAGUUGCUAUUAUCUAAUUGGGAAGAUUUUCUUUUUUUAAAGGCUAGUCAAGUAAAGCAGUGGGAGCGGAGAAGGAAAAAAGAAAUCUGUAAUUGGUUGUGAUCAAUUAGUUGUAAACACCACUACACUCUGACCAGCCUAAUUGGGAAGAUUUAAGGAUGUGACACGGUCUAAUGGGCUCAGAGGCAGAAGCGACAGUAAUCUGGAAGCAGGAGACUGCUUAGGCAGUGGCAUCCCGGUGGGACAGGGCAAGGAGAUUGGGGAGCCCACUUUUACUGCAACACUGGAAAGAGGGAUGUCACCAGAAAAAUGGGGGUGGUGACAGACAGGAGGUUGUGGCAGCUGUGGCUUCCAUGGUAGAGACCUCACGUGUGACAUUCAGCAGAUGGGGUGCUGUGGGGGUCUUAGAGCACUCUGACUAUAGCUGGGACAGUCACAGUGUUUAGGAAGCCUGUACAGUGAUCUAGGCUGAAUCUUGUGCAGUGAUCUAGGCUGAAAGCCGAGACUAAAGUAGUGGCUGUGGGAUCAAAAUAGGGUUGGAGGAGCUUUGAGUACUUGAGAAGGAAAAGGGGGAAAUCAGAAGGCACCACGGAAAGAGAAACAGGGGAGGAAGAGAGGAUGAUGUCAUGCGAGACGUGUAGAGUGUCCUUGUAGACCUGUCACAUUGGAAGCUACUAUGGUCUCAGAGGUACAGAUGUCCUAAAGCAGGCUGGAAAAGGGAGUCUGGGGAGAGCUUGGUGUUGGAGUGGACACUGGCAAGCUGCCUCCUUGGCCUUUUGAUCACCCAGGGGCUGAAUAGAGAGGCAGCCCCGGGAGACCUCACACACUUACAGGAAGUGACCAUAAGAAAGGGGACCUAGCUUUGAGUAAAAGGGAGGAGAAGGAGAUUGUAAAGCUGAAACGUCUAAGAGAUUUGUCGUCUUAGCGGAUCAGCUGGGGCAGGUGCUACAGAAACAGAGGUAGCUGAGGUCUGGAAACAGGUCUGCAAAUCUGGUCACUGGCCACAUAGCCAGUAACGCUGUGCGCGGCUGAGGGGA
rnacentral:lncRNA from 1 species